rnacentral:rRNA from 1 species
UACGGGGGGAGCAAGCGUUGUUCGGAUUUACUGGGCGUAAAGGGCGCGUAGGCGGCCACCGCAAGUCGACUGUGAAAUCUCCGGGCUUAACCCGGAAAGGUCAGCCGAUACUGCGGGGCUAGAGUGCAGAAGGGGCAACUGGAAUUCUCGGUGUAGCGGUGAAAUGCGUAGAUAUCGAGAGGAACACCUGCGGCGAAGGCGGGUUGCUGGGCUGACACUGACGCUGAAGCGCGAAAGCCAGGGGAGCGAACGGG